UUUUAGUAAAUCUAAUUAUUCCCAGUCAAAUCUAAACUACUAAAUUAUCCUUUCAAAGAUAUAGGAAAAUUUAAUAGAUUGUAUCUGCCUCACUCACCUUGUGAAAUACAUAGGAAAAUCCAAUAAUUAUCAAACCAAAUUGAGCGAUUCAAUUUAAAGGGUCAUUCCAAUAAAUCCUAUUAUUCGCAGUCAAAUUUAAGCUACUAAAGUGUCUUCUGAAAGAUAUAUGAAAAUCCAAUAAAUUGUGUCUGCAUCAUCCACUUGAUAAAAUGCAUAGGAAAAUUCAAUAACUUUUAUUACUUUCGUGUGGCAUACCUUUCAUUUCUGCUUUGUGAUCUGUGACGUUGGAUUAUGAAUUUUUGUUCAGAUCGUUGUCAACUGAAAAUUAUAGCUUAAUUUUCCCAAUAAAUUGAUUAUUUAGUUAAUAACGGCCCAUCGAUACUAAGUUAAAUAAAAUAUGAAGGAAAUAUACAGGUGAGUUCCUAUUCCGUAUAUUUUCGAAUGAUUUGUGCGAGUUUUGUAAAUGGUGACCAAUGUUUUUAAUACAAGAUUGGAACGGAACCAUAUUCCCCGGAACCAUAUAACAGGACAUAACCGGAAUAGCCAAGGAACUUAGUUGGAAACCUCGACAAAGCAGUGUCGACAAAAAUCCAAAUGGGGUAAAUAAAAGAGCGGAUGAGGUCAAAGUCUAGCGAUACGCAAGUUGAAAGUGUCUAGAACUCCCUCUAGGGAGAGGACAAAGUGGUAACAACUUCACACCGAAUUGGGACAGACCGAUACCAAUCGGUAUCUGGUCUCGGUCAUCGAAGAGAGUGCUACAUGGUCAAGCUAUUUUCGCCUGUGGCCUGUACGAUGAGGCACUUCAUUAUUUCGUUCUCGUCGAGUUGAAUUUGCGUUCAGAGAAGUGUAAUUGCAGUCGCAGCAUCCGGAUUCUGACCGUCGUAUCAUACACCAUAAGAGGAUGGAAAAAUCACGAUCCAAGUUCAAACAAACCAAACAUGCCGCAGAUCCUCCAAUCCGACUGACCAAUUAUAGUCUAGUGGUCGAAGCCGAUUGCCGGAACGGUUUAAGAUGAAACGGAACUGGAGAUUGAAUUCCGAAUUAUCGACGAACUGGGCUAGCUCAAGAUUUUUGUAUUCGGAUGUAGAAGUAUGAUGAAGCUUGAGUAGGAGUCCCGUCCUACGUUUCAAUGUUUCGAUCGAUUUCCUAAGAGUGCCUUGUAGUGCCAAAAGUAAAGUUGUAUUACUUCUUAAA